UACGGAAGGGGGCUAGCGUUGUUCGGAAUUACUGGGCGUAAAGGGCGCGUAGGCGGCCUUCUAAGUCGAACGUGAAAUCCCCGGGCUCAAACCCGGGAACUGCGUCCGAUACUGGAAGGCUUGAAUCCGGGAGAGGGAUGCGGAAUUCCAGGUGUAGCGGGUGAAAUGCGUAGAUAGUCUGGAGGAACACCGGAUGGCGAAGGCGG
rnacentral:rRNA from 1 species